ACCAAAAGUAGGUUGACUUUUAGGAUUGAUUUCUCCAUAAGGAACAGAGAGAGUCUGAUCACAGAUUCCUAAACAUUCAUACUUUUCACUCCCUGUUUCAUCAUUCUUAGUUAGCAACACAUCAUCUUGUUUUUACUGACAUUUUAGAGCAUCUUGACUGCUGUCAGUGUGGCGCCAGCAUACUGGCUUCAGCGGGUGAAAUAUCCAGUGUUCUGAACAGGAUGUCCACGUGAGCAAAAAUCAACUUCCUUGAAAAGGUUAAAACAGUUACUCACCAGGGAACUGUGGCAUCCCCAUGCAUCCAGAGAUCAGAAAGCAGCAGCAAGCGAUGAGCAGGCCUGACGUCUUCAUGUUGUGG